rnacentral:rRNA from 1 species
GAUAGUCGAACAACCACCCCAUUACCGGAUGGUUCCGCUGCUGCCCAUCGGCUGGACUCUCCCACUAGCCGGUGUGACCCUGACUCUGUGCCGGGUCUGAGGAUGCCCUCCGUCGUCACCCCUUAUAACGUGUUACCCGCGUUCGGACUACGUCGCUGCGGCGCACCCCCUACUGCCGGAAGCCCAACAUUUGGAGAAAGUGGUCCCUGCUUCGCACUCACUGCCAUGGACCUCUUUUUCGUGGCCGGUUGAUGCACGGUCGUCGGCGCCAUUAUGCAUCCCACGCUCGCAACAGGCCUUAAUGACCCGCAUUUCUCGAGCAUCCGCCAAACAGCGCAGCAGACACUUUAAGACGUUGAGUUAACAUCCGCACGUCCGCUAUGCCCGUCUGAACUCAUGAUGUCCCCUCUGACCUUAAGGACCACAUCGCCACUUUACGCGUCUAUAGUCCUCCUUGUGGCCACCGCUUCCGCCCAGAGACCCAUCAUUGACUGCGACUCCUCGCUUUCGCACCCCUCGCUUGUCCUAAUCUAUGGGACCAUCAGGUGCGGCAUUUGCCACCCAUGAUCCACACCCUGAGAAAAGUGCCCAAGGCACGGCAUCGAUUGCGUAAUUCAUGGGGCG